AUGAAUUACAUGAAUAUAUCUAUUUCUCAGGAGAGGAAGCUUUCAUUAUACUCUCAAAAAGGUCUGUGUCUCAAAAAGAGGGAGACACAGGCCUAUAGGAGAAAAAACCAGUUCCUCGGUCUCCACAGAAAUACAAAAAGUAGCCAGGCGUGGUGUUGUGCACCUGUAGUCCCAGCUACUCAAGAGCCCGAGGCAGGAGAAUUGCUUGAACUUGGGAGGUGUAGGUUGCAGUUCUUUCCUUGGUGGGCUGUCCACGUGCACAGUGGCCUGCUAGCACCUGGGAGAAGCCGCAUGUGCAGUGUGUUUACUAGAGUUGUACGCAUGCUCACUUGAAGCAUUCUUCCCUUAGCAGUCAAAUUAGGUCAUAAACCAGUUAAACUCCGCCAUUUUGCUUUUAGUGCGCAUGCUUGAGCCUACUUGCCCAACUUCUGAGAUCUUAUUGGAGAGCUGCUGAUCACCAGCUUCAGGUUUUUUAUAUCCGUUGCGGGACUGGCAGCAGCUUUUUUGGCAUCACUUGCGAUGAAUUAUUAUUUUACAGAGACAGUUAACAACUGCCUGACCAUCACGGGAUGGUCGCCUGACAUUCCUGGUUGGGAGGGGGCCUCUCCUGCUCUGCUUGGGUCUGACUAGCUGCCUACAGUAACAGGCUCACCCUGAAUUCUUUGUUGCAUGAGGUUCAGGAACCCUCUCUUGGUGUCUUAAUUGGAACCCCUUUCCAGUAACAAUUUUAGGAGAUGGUGUUGCAGACAGGCUCUCAAACAGAAGAAAAACAAAGGAUAAUGCUUGGUUUGUUGAACAUGCCCGAAAACAAAAUGGUUAAUGUGUGGAACAGUCCAUAUACCAGCUUUUUUAGAGUCUGGAGGGCAGUCAGUUGAGGUGUCUAGAUGUUAGAAUUGAAACAUCUUCAGUUAAAGUAGAAGUAGGCAGUGGCAAUUGGACAGAUUUUUCUAUUGUUUACACGUCACAAGGUUGUUUACACAAGCCUCAGCUUGCAGGGCAUCAGGGAAAAGGUAAUUACAAUUUCAGUGAAUUUAAGUCAGAAAAAAGAAGGAAAAAUUUGGAGAUGUUAGUUUGGAAACUUGUAGCCAGGAAAGAAUUCAGAAUUUUGUCCAAAUUGUAGACAAAGAAAAAAAAAACAAUGGUAGGGCUAGAAUCUUUUUUUUUUUUUUUUUUUUUUUUUUUGAGACAGGGUUCUGCUCUAUUGCCCAGGCUGGAGUGCAGUGGCAUAGUUGUGGCUCACUGCAGCCUCCACCUCCUGGGGUUCAGGUGAUCUUCCCACCUCAGUCUGUCAAGUAGCUGGGAAUACAGAUGCAUGCUACGACACCUGGCUAAUUAAAAAAAGAAAAUUGUUUUUGUAGAGAUAGAGUUUUGCCAUGUUGCCCAGGCUGGUCUUGAACUCUUGGGUUUAAUUGAUCCACCUGCCUCAGCCUCCCAAAGUGCUGGAAUUACAGGUGUGAAACCCUGUGCCCAGCCUAGGGCUAGAAUCUAAUAGCCGGUGUACUAUAAUUUUCUUCUGAAACAUAACUUUUUUCUGUCCAAUAUUUUUUACCAAAGAUAAAUUAUAGUAAGAAAAAUUUACUUGCAAAAUAAGUUUUACUCCUAUUAUACUUGGCCUGAUUAUUUGCACAAAAUGCAGUAAGAAUAGUGAUUGGCUAUCUAGGCUCCUUUUUUUUUUUUUUUUUUUUUGAGAUGGAGUCUUUCUCUGUCACCAGGCUGGAGUGCAGUGGUGCCAUGUUGGCUCACUGCAACCUCUGCCUCCCAGGUUCAAGCAAUUCUCAUACCUUAGCCUCUCGAAUAGCUGGGAUUACAGGCACCCACCCCUGUGUCCAGUUAAUUUUUAUGUUUUUAGUAGAGUUGGAGUUUCACCAUCUUAGCCAGGAUGGUCUCGAUCUCUUGACCUCAGGUGAUCCACCUGCCUCAGCCUCCCAAAAUGCUGGGAUUACAGGUGUGAGCCACUGCACCUGGCCAUGUAGGGUCUUUUAAAGUUGACUUUUGUCGAUGAAAAGAGUUAAACUCUGUAAAAUAUUUGAAGAGAUUUAUUCUGAGCCACAUAUGAGUGACAUAGCCCCAGGAGAUCCUGAAAGCAUGUAUCUAAGGUAGUUGGGUUACAGCUUGGUUUUAUACAUUUUAGGGAGACAUAAAACACCAAUCAAUACAUCUAAGACAUACAUUGGUUUGGUCUAGAAAUAUGGGACAACUCAAAGUGGGGACUUCCAGGUCAUAAGUGGAUUCAAAAAGAGUUUAUCUAAAAACCUAAAGUCAAUAGAAGGGAGUAUGUGAGUUAAGAUAGGGGGUUGUGGAGACUAAGGUUAAUAGAUUGCAAAGGUUUCUUAUUAGACAUAAAAAGAUGCCAGACUCUUCAGUGAGUUGUCUCCUGGAUCAGGAAAAAGACAUGGAAAGGGACAGGGAUUCUUUACAGAAUGUAGAUUUUCCCCACAAGAAAGCUUUGCAGGACCAUUUCAAAAUAUGUCAAAGAAAUAGGCCAGGCAUGGUGGCUCACUCCUGUAAUCCAAGCCCUUUGGAGGCCAAGGCGGGCAGAUCACCUGAGGUCAGGAGUUCAAGACCAGCCUGACCAACAUGGUGAAACCCUGUCUUUAAAAAAUAAUAGUAAUAAUAGGUCAUUUCCAUUGGAGGCUCCAAUUGGCUUGGCGGCGGCUCAUCUCUCGCCCGGGAAGUACGGACAUUGUCAGCUCCGCUUCCGCGGUCGCGGAUCAACAGUUGAGGAGCUCAAGCCCAGGACAAUGGUGUGCAUUCCUUGUAUCGUCAAUCCAGUUCUGCUCUGGAUCUACAAAAAAUUCCUGGAGCCAUACAUAUACCCUCUGAUUUCCCCCUUCGUUGGUCGUAUAUGGCCUAAAAAAGCUAUACAAGAAACCAAUGAUACAAACGAAGGCAAAGUAGACUGUAAGGGUGCAGACAUGAAUGGAUUACCAACAAAAGGACCAACAGAGAUCUUUGAUAAAAAGAAAGACUAAAGCAAUUACCUACAGGACCUCAUCAUUUAAAAAAUGGACCUGAUAAUAUGAAGCAUCCUCCUUGUAACUGUCUUUGACCUUUUUACCUGAGACGGGAAUUCAGGACAGAAGUCUAGAUACUUACCGAAUACUAAUCAGGAAAUACAUAAUAUCUGUAUUUAAAAUGUAGUUAGUUAUAUUUAAUGACCUCAUUCCUGUUCCUUUUUCAUUAAUGUAGCUUUCAUUUCUGUUGCUGUUGUUUUAAUAAUAUGAUGAAAUAGAAAAUGUGUACCAGUAGACACUAUGUCACUAAAUCAGCACUUUAAAAUCUUUGGUUUUCUAUCAUUCAUUCAUAUGAAUUUGACUGCUGUUUGCUGUAAUUUGUUUGGGCUCUUCUAAUUUGAGUGGAGUACAGUUUUAUUGUGAAACUGUGCUGGGAAGUGAAGGUAGAAUUUCGGGAGGUAAUAAUGAUGUGGAACAUACAGAUAUAAUAAUUAUUGUCCAACACAGUAGAGCAGCUUGUCUAUAAAUGUAGUAAUUACUAUUUAUUGCCCUGAGGAAGAUAAAAGAAGAAAGAUAGGGAAAAGGGGGAAACUUCUUUGAAAAAUGAAACAUCUUUUACAAAUAUGUCUAAUGUAAGUAUAAGAUUUUAAUCCUUACGACAUUUAUUCUGUUCCUACAAAUGUAUUAAACAUUCAGUUUAGCUGGUAAAAAUAAUAAUAAUAUAAAUAAAUAAAUAAUAUAUUUUAGGGUAAAAUACUUC
rnacentral:lncRNA from 13 species